ACUUCCCUACGGGACGCAGCAGUGAGGAAUAUUGGUCAAUGGCCGCAGGGCUGAACCAGCCAAGUCGCGUGAGGGAUGACGGUCCUAUGGAUUGUAAACCUCUUUUGUCAGGGAGUAAAGGGCGCCACGUGUGGCGCUUUGCGAGUACCUGAAGAAAAAGCAUCGGCUAACUCCGUGCCAGCAGCCGCGGUAGUACGGAGGAUGCGAGCGUUAUCCGGAUUUAUUGGGUUUAAAGGGUGCGCAGGCGGAAUGUCAAGUCAGCGGUAAAAUUUCGGGGCUCAACCCCGUCGUGCCGUUGAAACUGG
rnacentral:rRNA from 1 species